GAAAAACAAAGGGAACGUAGGAAAGGCAGAACAACCCGCUUCACUUCUGCAAAUUAAGUAAAAUUAAGCAAAAAAAAAAAAAGAAAGGAAGCGAGCAAAGGGAAGGAACUCCGAGCUGUCUGCAGCAGUGGUCCCUCGCAAGUUCUGGUGCUUCCCCUCCAAGACACCGGAGGAGGAGAGCAAAGAAGACAAGGCGCCUCUCCUUCCGGGAGUCAGACUCCGCACAGCUUGCAGUAUUCGCCGAAUUCGCUGUGAGCAAAUCAGUGGCUGCUGCAUUCCGGGGAGUGAGCGAGGUACUGGAUGGACCCUUGUGAGUCAAGGGCAGAGCUCAGUUUGGCUCAGACCCCGAUUUCAUCAUUGGACGGUCACUGGCUCUGGGCAAGUAGCAAAGAGGAGUCGAUGUGAGAAGAUCUGGGUUUAAAAAUAAAGACUGUAUUUAUUCAUGAGAGACCCAGAGAGAGAGGCAGAGACCCAGACAGGGAGAAGCAGGCUCCCUGCGGGGAGCCGGACGUGGGACUCGAUCCCGGGACCCCAGGGUCACGCCCUGAGCCCAAGGCAGAUGCUCCACCACGGAGCCACCCAGGAGUCCCAGGUACCACAUUUUUCUACAUGGGGCUGUUGUCAAUUCCACUUUCCACGUAAAAUCAUAGACAUGAGGAAAAGAAGUGAUUCUGUAAACAAAGAACGAGAACGUCUUUAUCUCAAAGGCCUUGACCGAAGGUCGUGGUUAACGACCAAGAUUCUAAUGUUGCCGCUGGAGUCCUGGAAGAAUUGUAUCUGAAACUGCUUCUCCCCCUGCCCGUGUCUCUCAUGAAUGAAUGAAUAAAUUCUUAAAAAAAAAAAAAAAAAAUUCCUAAAGAGAAAGAGACCAAGAUGUGAACAAUAGGCCGAAUGGUAGAACCCAAAUUUUGUCCUCCUACAUUAAAUCCCUGAAGAAUUUCACGGGCUUCUUCCAAAACAUACAUUUUUUUUUACCUCCAGGGUAUGAAAUCCUAAAGAACAUAUAUCCUAUAUCGUACGUUCGCAGAUUAAGUAUUUUCGAAAAGCUGAUCCUCUUUCGAAGUCGGUGCAGGAGAGGAGCUAGAAGCCGCACCCCGGACAGAAGGAGGAGCGAAGCGGACGGUGGUGUAGUGGUGUGGCUUCCUCGCUGCUCGCCCUGCCCCGCUCUCUCCAGGCCAUCCUUCUCAGUGCCACCAGAGUAAUCUUUCUGAAACUUGGGUUACUCCCUGGCAGAGCCUAGAACCUUCGGGAAGGUUCCACGUCUCCAGAAUUGAAAGCACCUUCAUUCAUCUGGCUCAGGCCUCCCUCUGCAAUCCCUCUCCCACGGACACCCCCUCGACCUCGCCCCCCUACACUGCACGGGCCCAGCGGCAUCGGCCCCAAGUAACGUGAAAUCCUGCUUCAUCUUUUAAACACCGAGGGACUGCCGGCGGCCACCGCACUGGGCCCGGUUCAGUCAUGCCAGCGGCUUCCUUUCUCUGCCGUCGCCUUAGUCCCAUGUGACAUCUUUGUCUUCUGGUUGGCUCUCCUGGAGGUAACAAAGUAGAAGCCGGCGGCUCUCAGGUUUAGACGCUUUUUCUUCCAUCCGAUUGCAUGUCUUCCCCCCCCAUCAAGCCACAAUCCUGGAGUUCUCUCUGGUUGGACACACCCAGCCCUGACCUGACGUCCCCGAGGAAUGCCGUGUGGGCGACAUGCUCCUCUGAGACCCCGCUAUAAGGGAAGAGUGGUUUACGCUGCCUGGCUAAGGCCAGUCAAGACCCAUCCUUGUUGCUGAGAGUAAGGUCCAUUAUGCUCCCCCCAUGGCUGGGAAAUUUGGAGGGAAGGAAAGAAUGGAUGCAGAAUAGGCACCUUCAGACCCCAAACUACUUACAAUUCUCUAAGCCAUUUGUCCCGUGGUUUAGCUCUCUGCCCUCUUUCUGGAAAGUUUUUUCCCACUUCAUCUGUCUAGUAAAUUCUUACUGUGCCCUCAAUUCCAGGCCAAGCGUUUCACCAUCCGUAAGAUCUUUUGGGAUCACUCACCCCAAAGAGGGGAUUAGGUCCCUCUCUACACCAUUCUUAGACCAAGUACCAACUCAAUUUAUUGCCUUUCUCAUUGUUCAUCAAUUAUUUGUUUGAUAGAUUUGUCUCCCUCCAAUAGAUCUUUAACUUAUUGAGUACAGAACCCCUAUCUUUUUUAAUCCUUCCUCUUGACAUUUAUAGAAUGACCAGAGCAUAGACAAGUAUUCUUUAUUUUUUUUAAAGAUUUUAUGUAUUUAUUCAUGAGAGACAGAGAGAGAGAGAGGCAGAGACACAGGCAGAGGGAGAAGCAGGCUCCACGCAGGGAGCCCCACGUGGGACUCAAUCCAGGGUCUCCAGGAUCACACCCUGGGCUGCAGGCGGGGCUAAACCUCUGAGCCACCCAGUCGUCCCAACGAGUAUCCUUUAAAUAAAUUCUGAGUUUGGUUAA